GGUCCAAUAGUGUAGUGGUUAUCACAAUGGAUUCUGAUAUGUUUCCAUUAGCGCACCAAGAAUUCCAUUAACCCAGGUUCGAGUCCUGGUUGGACCU
rfam:Moniliophthora roreri MCA 2997 sctg_0043_0003, whole genome shotgun sequence.